UUAAAACCCAAAGAGUAAGGCCAGACUCUUGAAGUCCAGUGCCCAGGCUUGGACGGGGCAAAACCAGGAGUUUAAAAACACUUAGCACCCUCGGUAUAAAGGAACUCUGAAAAGAGAAUUCCUGGCUUCAUCUUCUCUUAGGUUCCUCCUGAAGGCAGGCGGCUCGGCCCUUCUUCUCACAGCCAUAACUGGGGUUCUGUCUUCUGUUUGAAGCCACCGCUGCUCUUACUCUCGUCUUACAAAAAACCCACACUCGCAGAGGAAAUGGAGCGCUCGUAUGUUUUUGGCGGAAAAAAAUACAUACUGCCGGCCUCUGCCCUUCAGGAGCAAGCCUCAGAAAGAGAAAUUCCAGAGUGGAAUAUGGAUGCCACGUGUGAUGAGCGCAGCCCUGAAAACUGAAACAAAGGUCCCUAAAGGCUUCACUUUGCCAGAGGUUAGAUCUGUGUACACUUCUUAG
rnacentral:lncRNA from 12 species